UACGGAGGAUCCAAGCGUUAUCCGGAUUUAUUGGGUUUAAAGGGUGCGCAGGCGGCCUGUUAAGUCAGGGGUGAAAGACGGUGGCUCAACCAUCGCAGUGCCUUUGAUACUGACAGGCUUGAUUACACAUGAGGCAGGCGGAAUGUGACAAGUAGCGGUGAAAUGCAUAGAUAUGUCACAGAACCCCGAUUGCGAAGGCAGCUUACUAAAGUGUAAAUGACGCUGAGGCACGAAAGCGUGGGGAUCAAACAGG
rnacentral:rRNA from 1 species